rnacentral:tRNA from 1 species
GCUCGGAUAACUCAGUGGUAGAGUACGGGAUUGCAGCGAAGACAUGGGAUUUCACGAUCCCCCUUUGGCCAGUUAUCCUGAAGUCGUCGGUUCGAUCCCGGCUCCGAGCU